rnacentral:rRNA from 1 species
AAACAACGUUUGAGUUAACCUAGCCCCCGACUCUGCGGUAUUAUAUGCCCGGGAAACUGGGUCUAAUACCGGAUAUGACCUCGCACCGCAUGGUGCGGGGUGGAAAGAUUUAUCGGUGGGGGAUGGACUCGCGGCCUAUCAGCUUGUUGGUGAGGUAAUUUGUUCACCAAGGCGACGACGGGUAGCCGGCCUGAGAGGGUGACCGGCCACACUGGGACUGAGACACGGCCCAGACUCCUACGGGAGGCAGCAGUGGGGAAUAUUGCACAAUGGGCGAAAGCCUGAUGCAGCGACGCCGCGUGAGGGAUGACGGCCUUCGGGUUGUAAACCUCUUUCAGUAGGGAAGAAGCGAAAGUGACGGUACCUGCAGAAGAAGCGCCGGCUAACUACGUGCCAGCAGCCGCGGUAAUACGUAGGGCGCAAGCGUUAUCCGGAUUUAUUGGGCGUAAAGAGCUCGUAGGCGGUUUGUCGCGUCUGCCGUGAAAGUCCGAGGCUCAACCUCGGAUCUGCGGUGGGUACGGGCAGACUAGAGUGAUGUAGGGGAGACUGGAAUUCCUGGUGUAGCGGUGAAAUGCGCAGAUAUCAGGAGGAACACCGAUGGCGAAGGCAGGUCUCUGGGCAUUUACUGACGCUGAGGAGCGAAAGCAUGGGGAGCGAACAGGAUUAGAUACCCUGGUAGUCCAUGCCGUAAACGUUGGGCACUAGGUGUGGGGGACAUUCCACGUUUUCCGCGCCGUAGCUAACGCAUUAAGUGCCCCGCCUGGGGAGUACGGCCGCAAGGCUAAAACUCAAAGGAAUUGACGGGGGCCCGCACAAGCGGCGGAGCAUGCGGAUUAAUUCGAUGCAACGCGAAGAACCUUACCAAGGCUUGACAUGUGCCAGACCGCUCCAGAGAUGGGGUUUCCCUUCGGGGCUGGUUCACAGGUGGUGCAUGGUUGUCGUCAGCUCGUGUCGUGAGAUGUUGGGUUAAGUCCCGCAACGAGCGCAACCCUCGUUCCAUGUUGCCAGCACGUAGUGGUGGGGACUCAUGGGAGACUGCCGGGGUCAACUCGGAGGAAGGUGGGGAUGACGUCAAAUCAUCAUGCCCCUUAUGUCUUGGGCUUCACGCAUGCUACAAUGGCCGGUACAAUGGGUUGCGAUACUGUGAGGUGGAGCUAAUCCCUAAAAGCCGGUCUAAAGUUCGGAUUGGGGUCUGCAACUCGACCCCAUGAAGUCGGUAGUCAGCU